AGUGAACGCUGGCGGUAGGCCUAACACAUGCAAGUCGAACGGCAGCACAGUAAGAGCUUGCUCUUACGGGUGGCGAGUGGCGGACGGGUGAGGCAUACAUCGGAAUCUACUUUUUCGUGGGGGAUAACGUAGGGAAACUUACGCUAAUACCGCAUACGUCCUACGGCUGAGAGCAGUGGAUCCUCGCACCUUGCCCGAUUGUAUGAGCUGAUGUCGGAUUAGCUAGUUGGCGGGGUAAAGGCCCACCAAGGCGACGAUCCGUAGCUGGUCUGAGAGGAUGAUCAGCCACACUGGAACUGAGACACGGUCCAGACUCCUACGGGAGGCAGCAGUGGGGAAUAUUGGACAAUGGGCGCAAGCCUGAUCCAGCCAUACCGCGUGAGUGAAGAAGGCCUUCGGGUUGUAAAGCCCUUUUGUUGGGAAAGAAAAGCAGCAGGUUAAUCCCCCGCUGUUCUGACGGUACCCAAAGAAUAAGCACCGGCUAACUUCGUG
rnacentral:rRNA from 1 species